rnacentral:pre_miRNA from 1 species
UAAACUCAAAAUUGUAUGGAGUUGGAGAAGUUUCCCUUCGUUUGUCGCUAGAGGCGCUGUUCUAACUCCAUACAAAUUCGAGAUA